CAAGAAAGCUGGCUAAUAUAUACAAAAGUGACUAAAACUGAGAGGCUCGUAUUACAAAGGUGGAAUGGAAUGAAAAUAUGCUGUGGAAAAUGAAAUGGAAAUGGACUGCCUUCGAUUACGACUUAUGACGACCCUAUGAAUACAGUUUUCAUGGGCAGCUACUCUGUGUUAACUAAUCCUAAACAUGCACCAUCACAGUCCACAGCACACAAAGAGAUUCCUGCAUGUCUAGAGACUUCUUCAUACACUUCAGUGUCAACAGAGAGUUCUGUGUGUACAAUAGAGAUUCCAUGUGGACCCAUUCCUGAUGUUGAAAUGAAUGAAAUUUUGUGGUUAUGACAUGGGAACUCCAAAGCCCAAGCAUGUUACCUUGAAGCCUUAGUGUCUACCAUUUUCAGGGGUCCUGACUUAUAGAUUACACAACACACAUCAAUUUUACUGAAUCACUAACUCAUCCUAAAGCAAAAUGUUCAGGUAUGGCAAUACCAUAUCCUUUCUCUAAAAAUAAUGUUUUAAAAGUUUCACAAAAUACAGUCUGGUUUAAAAACUUGUGGUGGUAUAAUCAAGAAACUCUUUUAGUAUGGCUGUGAACCAGAUAAAAUUAGCUCUGUAAAAGGUGUGUUAGAAAAUGCCACAUACACUAAAUCAAACAAAAAAUUAGAGCAAAUGAACUUAGCGUGCUAAAAAGGUUUUUCCACUUUAGUAAGUGGAUUAUAAUGAAUGUAGUAAAAUAUUUCAUACAACUGAUUAGUGUGUUGCCACUUAUGUACACUCUGAAGCAGUGUAAGGUUUUCAAAACUGGAAAGUUGCCAAAGUCAACAUUCAACAAUAUUAAAAAACUUUA